GUAAAUAUAAAUGUUCUUAAUCUUAUAUUUUAUUUAGUAAUUCAACAUUUCAUUUGUGACAUGUUUUCCUUUUUUUAUAGGGUUGGGCAUUUGAAGUCGUUCCUCAUUUGGGGCAUCAAGUCACUACAAAGAAGAAAUUUUAUCUCAAAGGAUAUUAAGAUGGCUGAAAGCAUAAAAUGUCAAAAAUUCUCGAGAUAUUUUUAACCACCGUGAUGAUUCAUGAUUCUUCUCCGUCAAUGAUAACAACAAAGAUGAUACUGAUGAUGGUGGUAUGAUGCUAAGCUAAAAGAUUGAAGGAUUAUAUGGAAAAGAGGUGUAUCAAGAGAUGGUGGCGAAUCAAUUUGCCUAAUGAGGUUCUAGGUAAUCCUGGAUUGAGAAGUUCAACUGGGAAAGACAAAAUUAGGCAGAUGACUUGUAGUGAUUUAAUUUUUUUAUAUGUUCAAUUUUAUCAUUUUUCUACGGUUGAGGGAAAACUUUUUAUAAGGAAACAAUUAAAAAUAUUAUGGAAAAAAUAAAAUAUUAAAAUUCAUGAAUAUAUUAGGGAAAACAUUACAUAUCAUUAUGAAAGAAAGGAACAAUAAUAACAAAGUUUAAAACAAUAUGUUGAGAAUAUCCAGUAGUUCACAAGAAACAAUAUCUUGUAAACUUCUGUUUCCACACUACACGCUUGAACUAAGUUGGAAUGUUAUAUAUUCAUGCUCUUACUACCCAGAAAAUUCACAUGAAGAACGGUUUAUGCAACCAAUUACUCGAUUAUCUUACUCUUGAAGUCUGUCAAGAAAAUUCACAUGAAAAACCUACAAAAAUGAUGAAUCUGCCUAAUCAACUGAUAACUAAUUAUCUAUGAAAACAAAACCACAAAAAUUAAAUACAACACAAAGUAGCC
rnacentral:lncRNA from 1 species